AUCACACCUCCUAGGAGGACCUUGUCCAUCUCAUCCAUAAGCUUCCGCACCAUCUUUCACCAUUCAUCCAAGAAGAGCUCAUAGGAAAUCCAUUACAUAAUAAAAAUCCUGAUAAAUUGUUGGUAAGUUAGAGGACAUUCGGUCGAUUUAACUCUUGAAUUUACAUGUAUUGGAUAAUUUACAUUUUUCAAAUGAUUUAUUGAUGUUUGACCUUUUUGUCACUUGUAUUACUAUAAUAAUUGCUCUAGUAAUUUGGUUGAGCAAAAUGAUGCAUCUCAAGAAUCACGAUUCUGAUUGUUGCCUGCAUGAGAGUAGUGGAUGCCUCAGUUAGCUUUUAUUUACUGUUUUGAAAUGGCUAGGUACGAUCCAGAGUUGUAGCUUUAUGCAUAUCCUAAAUUCUUUUGUUACAAGAUUUUAGCUUUAUGCAUAUCCUAAAUUCUUUUGUUACAAGUUUUUAGCUUUAUACCACACAUUUGGGUCUGGUACAUUUAGCUUCCUUCUAUCUAACGUUUAUAGAAAGAUAUCAAUUAAUUUUGUGUUAUAGGCAAAUUAAUCUAUAAUUUAUCCAAAACUUACAAUUAUUUCCCAGAAUUCUGUUGAUUAUGCUGUUGUUGGAGCAAUAUCAAAACUAGUUGCAAUACUGCUAACCUAUCCAUUUCAGUUACAAAUGUUUGACCCAUCUCUUAUGAAUGAGAAUUCUAGCUUCAUUCCUUAAUAUGAGUAAUUGAAGAAUUUUCUUUCUUCUAAGUCAUGCUCCCUCCCUCCCUUUAUUUCAGGUUAUGCGGUCUUGCUUGCAGGUACAAGAAUGUCAUUACAAGAUAUAAAUAUUACAUAUUCAUUCUCAUUUAACUUGGCAUCUCUACAUCUUUAUCUGAUAUGGACUGAAAUUUCUAUCUCUACAGCAAUGACCUAGUGGUGCUGGGAUUCUUUAAGAUAUAUGGAUACUUGGCAUGUUGUGAAAGAAACUGCACGGUAACUACAUAUUAAAAACACAUAUGCUUACAUUAAUUAGAAAUUACUACUCAUUGGGUCGAAAUGGGAUUCCACUCAUUAGUUUGGUUACAUUUAUAUAUGUUUCUAUUUGUGUUUUAAGGCACAUGUCUAUAUAUUAAUGGGUGAUGCUGUCUGCUUAGGUUCAAAUUAAAAGUUUGCGGCAAGAUUUGGUUUGCAAAUUGGUGUUUCACGAAGACAACAUCCAUCGUGAACAUUUGCUGUCAGAUUUGGACUUGAGGGCAGAAAAAUGUGACGUCUUGCAAUGCUGAGUUAUUAUGAUAGGAUACAGGGUUGAACCUGUAAAUCACAUUUUGACCUUAUAAUUGUUAAAUGUUUUUAGACAUUGGUUGGCAUUGUAUUGGCAGAAUUAUAGAUAUUUAAGACAUACAAUAACUAUUUUAUGUAAUGUUAUAUUUGUAUAAAUGUAAAUUGAUUCGAAAUGUCAGUUUUAAUUUAAUGUUUGAGUACAUGGA
rnacentral:lncRNA from 1 species